rnacentral:lncRNA from 1 species
AUGCUGCUUCUCAGGACCACGUGUGCCACCACCUGCCUGCCGCUUCGCCGGCCGCGGCGCUGCCUGGGACGGGGCCAUCCCCCUCCCGCACGCAUGGAGCCACCACGGGCAGGCAGGAGGGCGAAGCAGUGCCUGCUGCUGCCCCCCCCGCCCACCCUUUUAGCCCCAGGACACCCCCGUUUUUCAGGACAGGCUGGGGCCCCCCCUGUGCCAACCCCCCGAGCCCCGAGGUGCUGCCGUGCGCAUCCCGGGGCAGAGCUGGACCAUUUACUGCAGCAGCAUCGCACAGUUUCUGGGAGCAGCCACGUGCACGCCAUCCCGGUUCGGUUUUUGCCCUUGGCAGCGGGUAACAACCUGCGCCCCGAGCUGGCUCCGCAGGAGCAGCGCCCGCUUCGAGCAGCAGCACUGCCCCGAGCAGGAGCUGCACAGCCUCUUCCCUCCCCUCCGCCUCCCCACCUCUGUGUUAACCUUUUUGGCUCCUUUAUUAAAGCAACUGAACAGUUUAUACUCUUUUUUUUUUUUUUUUCCUGUGUGGUUCUCGCUGUAAUCUGCCUUGAAUAUUUGAUGUGGAAUCCCUUGCGAGAGCAAGAAGUGUUUUUAUGGGCGCUNUUUUUCCUGUGUGGUUCUCGCUGUAAUCUGCCUUGAAUAUUUGAUGUGGAAUCCCUUGCGAGAGCAAGAAGUGUUUUUAUGGGCGCUAGAGGAAAACUCUUGCAAAGAAGAAGUGGUAAUGAGUACCCCUGAGUACCCUCUCGGUUUCACAACUGCCUGUGUUUAAAAAUGAGCAGAAAUUGGGCAAGUGGUUCUCACCAGGGAGCGCAGCCGCCUCUCGCUCCCAGCAAUGCUCUGCGUUGCAGGAGCCCAGCACGGGCGAGCAACACUUGUUUAUUCCAAUUGAAGCUGACACCAGAAGCAGUCCAGACCAACCAGAUGAGCUCAUGUGUGUCCCGCUUUAUUUCCAACCCAGAUUAACAGCAUCUCUUUAAUUUCUAAUGGCCUAUUCUGGGAUUUGCAGGCAAUGUUCAAACAGCACCGAGGGCUGUGUCUCCGCGUGCCCCUCGGCUCGCGUAUUCCCUCCGUGCCCGACGUCACAGGUUUGCACAAAGCAAGAGCUCUCAUCCCAAUUACACGGGAUGAACUCGCAGGAAGCUUUUCAUCACACGCACACACAUCUUUUUCGUACCCAGGUCUCUGAAUUUAACACAGCAGACACGAUCCCUCUCCUUUUCAAAGAGAAAAUAUUCCUUUUCAUUUCCAGCCCCCUCUCCAUCAUAACCCAGAGCAAACUCGGCGCAGAGCUGCACAGUGGCUCUGUGGCUCGGCGUCUGAAUAAACAGCUUGGAGAAGUCCUGCA